CUUGGUCAUUUAGAGGAAGUAAAAGUCGUAACAAGGUCUCCGUUGGUGAACCAGCGGAGGGAUCAUUAUAGAGUUAUCCAACUCCAAUACCCAGUGUGAACUUACCAGUGUUGCCUCGGCGGGUUCCAGCGCUUUCCGGAGCUGCUGGGCUCACGGCCCGCCGGUGGUUUUUUACAAACUCUUGUAUUAAUUUGCAAUCUGAGCGUUACUUUUAAAUAAGUCAAAACUUUCAACAACGGAUCUCUUGGUUCUGGCAUCGAUGAAGAACGCAGCGAAAUGCGAUAAGUAAUGUGAAUUGCAGAAUUCAGUGAAUCAUCGAAUCUUUGAACGCACAUUGCGCCCAUUAGUAUUCUAGUGGGCAUGCCUAUUCGAGCGUCAUCUAAACCCUUCAAGCCCAGCUUGGCGAUGGGCGCCUGUCCGCCGCGUGCGGACCCGCCCCAAAUAUAUUGGCAGCCGGCCGACCCGCCCCGAAGCGCAGCAGAAGCGCGCGUCUGCGAGGCGGGCGCCGGCGCUCCAGCGAGCGAACACCACCCCAUUUGACCUCGAAUCAGGCAGGGAUACCCGCUGAACUUAAGCAUAUCAAUAAGCGGAGGA
rnacentral:rRNA from 1 species